AAACAUGGCUACCUGGGGGACUUCCUGUCAUACUGGACUACAAAUAUGGCUACUUGGGGACUUCCUGUCACCCAGGUGCCAGACUGAUUACAAACAUUACAAAUGAGAGGAUAGUCUCCUGGAAAUCAGCUGUGAGAGGCCUGAGCUGAGUGAGGAUUCCUGAGUGAGCCACACAUAUAACACUGACAGAUGCAGAGCUGUUAAGGAUUACCGAGCCAUUGGUGAAGAGUACCAACUGUGAUGGUGGAUGGAAAUCUAUCUACUAUAGGGGUGGUUGGGAAGUAACUGGCUGGGGACUGGAGUUAUGCCACACUCGGGGAAUCCGCCUAACUCCUGAAGAAAGGAGCAAGCGUAUGUGAGAGCCCUUGUGCUUAUACUGUGGUCGGCCUGGCCACAUUCAAGGUUCCUGCCCCAAUUGUCCACCCAGCCGAUCAAGCUCGUUGCUUCCCUGCAACUCGUGGGUGGCAGUAUCUGCUGUAGAUGGACGUCCAUUGGGGACCACUGGGAUCCAGUAUCUCAUUCCAAACGUUACGCUCACCAUCCAGCUCAACCUCCAGGAGACGUACGCCUGUUUAACUUAUUUGACACAAGAUGUAUUUUAUUUUGAAAGGCACUUGUGUUGCUGUCAAAAAUAAAAAUAAGUGAAAACUGUUUUGGUAAAAAAUAUAACAAUGCUAUAAUUCAACUAUUAUAGGUAUUGUGAAGAAAUGUCUCUUGUAGUUUUAAAGGUUGCAUACCCUUGAACAAGGUGA